rnacentral:rRNA from 1 species
UACUAGAGUAGCACUCGCAUAUCAAUAAGCGGAGGAAAAGAAACUAACAAGGAUUCCCCUAGUAACGGCGAGUGAAGCGGGAAGAGCUCAAAUUUGAAAUCUUAAAGGGUUUCCCUUUACGAAUUGUAGUUUAAAGAAGUGUUUUCUGUUGAGGUUUUGGUAAAAGUUCUUUGGAAUAGGACAUCAUAGAGGGUGAGAAUCCCGUAUUUGACCUUUACUUUCAACUUUGUGAUACACUUUCAAAGAGUCGGAUUGUUUGGGAAUGCAGUCCAAAAUGGGUGGUAAAUUUCAUCUAAAGCUAAAUAGUUGGCGAGAGACCGAUAGCGAACAAGUACCGUGAGGGAAAGAUGAAAAGAACUUUGAAAAGAGAGUUAAACAGUACGUGAAAUUGUCAAAAGGGAAGCGUUUGACACCAGUGUUGUUUUUCUGAAAAUCAAUUAAAGAACUGUUUAUGCUAAGUUGUCUAGACUUUAUCAGCUAACUGUUUAGUUUUGAGCUUUUCUUUAAUGCACUUUUCAGUUAACAAGUCAACAUCAAUUUCUUUUGCUGUAAAAAAGCUUGAGGAAGGUGGCUUGAGAUUCGUCUUAAGUGUUUAUAGCCUCUUGCCUAUGCAGUCGGAGAGAUUGAGGUCUGCAGCGUAGAUCCUUCGGGGCUAAAUGCAUUUGUGCUAAGUUAUAGCAUUUUAUAGACAACUUGUUGACUAUGAUUUGUCUUGUAGCUUACUCGCUUAUGUUAUUUUACCUACGCUUAGGAUGUUGAGCGCAUGUCUCUCUCU